rnacentral:rRNA from 1 species
CGCGUAGGCGGCCUGCUAAGUCGAACGUGAAAUCCCUGGGCUCAACCCAGGAACUGCGUCCGAUACUGGUUGGCUUGAAUCCGGGAGAGGGAUGCGGAAUUCCAGGUGUAGCGGUGAAAUGCGUAGAUAUCUGGAGGAACACCGGUGGCGAAGGCGGCAUCCUGGACCGGCAUUGACGCUGAGGCGCGAAAGCCAGGGAGCAAACG